GGACUACAGGGGUUUCUAAUCCUGUUUGCUACCCACGCUUUCGUGCCUCAGCGUCAGUUAAAGCCCAGCAGGCCGCCUUCGCCACUGGUGUUCCUCCCCAUCUCUACGCAUUUCACCGCUACACGGGGAAUUCCGCCUGCCUCUACUUCACUCAAGCUCUACAGUUUCAAAUGCAGUUUAUGGGUUGAGCCCAUAGAUUUCACAUCUGACUUGCAAAGCCGCCUACGCACCCUUUACACCCAGUAAAUCCGGACAACGCUUGCUCCCUACGUAUUACCGCGGCUGCUGGCACGUAGUUAGCCGGAGCUUAUUCAUUAAGUACCGUCAAAUUUCGUCCUUAAUAAAAGAAGUUUACAAUCCGAAAACCUUCAUCCUUCACGCGGCGUUGCUGCGUCAGGGU
rnacentral:misc_RNA from 1 species